rnacentral:misc_RNA from 1 species
AUCAAUGUCAAUAUGGCCAGUUUGUAGAUCUAUCUGCCUAGAACUAGGCCAUACUCCCAUUGAAGAGGAUGGUGCAAGAUUCUGGUUCGAAAGAGCAUCAGCUGGAUUAACGGAAUUGUCAGUGGUCUGAAGAUCUGAAGUUCCUGCACUCUGUACACUUUCUGCUGCUCUUUUCUUUGCCUUUGAACUUGAGCAUAAGAAGCUUCCCACUAUUACCUGAAUUGGACUUGCAGCAACUAGAACACCUCCAACACCACCACCUAUCACGCGACCAUCUGGACUAGCAAGAGAAACACUUAGACUACCAAUCCUACCUCGAGAUCCA